AUGUGUGUGCCGCCCGCUCGAGUACAGCGGGCUCGGGGUUCAGGACCUGGAGCGUGCCGGCCUAGCGCUGCACCUGCGCUGGAUGUGGUUCUCCCACACGGACGACGACCGCACAUGGCGAGGCCUCGACCUCCAGUUUUCCCGCGAGGAGCGCGCGUUGUUCUUCGCAUCGAUGACCAUGGAGCUUGGCGAUGGACAGACGGCAUUGUUCUGGGAUGA
rnacentral:rRNA from 1 species